rnacentral:lncRNA from 1 species
GAAAGUCUAAGCAAGAAUGCUCAAGGAGGCAUUUUGAGGCCCCUGUGGAGUGGAGGUGCCCCCUUUGACCUUUUCAUCAGUCUUUUCAUUCCUCACCAGGAAGAUUCCACAAAGACAAUUUGAAAAUCUUAUGUGAAGCAGAACUAAGCUUUUGCAGUUAGUUAUAUGUGAUGACAGAAACAGAAUUACAUGUGGGGUGAAGAGGAGAAGGGAGAAGGUACCCUAUCCAAGACACCUGAAGAAAUAGCACAUCAUAACCAGCAGCAUGUAAG